AAUUACGCUCUAAUGAUAUGCAUGCUGCCAAUUGCCAUUGCUUUGGAGUCGGUGUUUUGAAUUUCUGCGUUUUUUUGGAUCGGCUCCACUCUCCAGACAGCUGGCUCAGCCUAAUCGACCAGAGCAAUGCGACACCUAUACCAACUUGAUACCAACCUACUUGGCGGGGUGGUGAAUUCAUGAAGUGCGAAUGCGAAACAUGGCAAUAGAUGGCGGAACAAACAGCAUGGGGAACGCUGGGACACGCAUUGAGGAAUGAAAUCCGUCACUUCCCAGAUUUCGAACGCAUCCUUAGAGUGCAUUACUUUUAUGUGCUUGCGUUCGGUCUUGGGAUUUCUCAGCAGAUGUCGCCAACAGUAGAGAGAUUGAUCUAGAAUGUCUCGUUAUCGGAAAAGUAUGGUAGCCAUACACCAAAUGGUUUUUGCGUAUAGCUACCAUAUUACUUCCGAUAUGACUGUUGACAUCACUGCCGAUAUGACGGAGCAGUGCAUUGGCAAUAUGCCAAGGGCAGUAACAUGCCGUCAGUCACGUCAGUCAUCGGCCUUGGCUAUCUGUAAGAAUCUUGGCAGGAAUCUUGGCCUUUUCUUGGACCCAUAGCCUCGGCCUUCGACCAAUCAUAUCGCCGAAUUCGCAAGCGGUGAGAGACAAAUACGGCGUGCCAAAGACAUAUUGGGUGUCUCAAAAUCACUGAGAACUCUGUAGCUCAAAACUGAAGCCCUGCACUCUUUUAGAUCUACCCCGUUGAGUGGCAUUCUUGUGAAAAUUAUGUAAAGAUAUUUAUCAGAAUAAGGUAGAAGUGUAGGGGGUGGCAGGUGAGGUGCAGAAGAAGAAGAAGAAGAAGAAGAAGAAGUUGUACCUAUCCAGUAAUUUUAUCUUGAUUUGUGGACUAGACGAAGACUAGAUUUUGAUGAAGAAAUCGACAAACUUGAACUGCAGGACUCGUGGCGCUGCUCGCCUCCUCGCCAAUGCGAAUGCGUUCUCUGAGGACAACCCGCCCAAGGCUACCAUGGCGAAGCCACGCCACCGCGCCGGCUAUAGACUCACGGCCUGAAGCGAGUUUGGGCGCGACGGCUGGCGAGCCAAGGCGGCGGAAAGUCGUCUGGCGGAGCUCCCGUCUGAGGCGAGCUUGAUCUGGUCAGACAGCUCCGCCACCGAUGGUGUGCUAGAUGGAGGAGGAGGGGCCACCCCCCCCCCCCGAACUGCGACAUCCGAGAGGUGCGUGUCGCGGCAGGCGCCCUCUGCUCUAGCACGCGCGGCGAGCUAUUCGCCCUAAGAGCGGUGUUGGAGGAGCUGGCCGGACGGAUGGUACCGGUCGAUAUGGGUCGACCGCCGUCUAUCCCAACGGUAGCGCCGAUUGACGUGGGCACUAUCUGCAAGGCAGGCGCGCGCGCGACGCUGCGCGCGCCUGGCAGCGGAGCUGGCCGGACGGAUGGUACCGGUCGAUAUGGGUCGACCGCUGUCCUGGCUCCGUCCUGGAGGCCGACCGUGCAGUCGUUAUCGACAUCCGCCAGUACCUGCUCUGCAUCGGCCGCCUCCCGAGGCCGGAUGCCCACAAUUCAACGACGUGGAGUGCCCUGCUGCCCGAUGCCGCGUCUGCCGCGAAGAGGCUGGCACUCCACGGUAUGUGCUGCUGCGAUGCGUGGCGCUGGCGGCGUUGCGACAAAGAGCCUCGGCAGCUGAACUGCUUCAAGCGACGUAAUGAUAUCUGCCCUCCCCUCCCCUAUCGAGCCGCGUGGGUGUGGACGGACCGGUCGGCAGACGCGAGAACCUGCAGCGAAGGAGCUGGAGUCUACGGGGAGUAGCAGGACGAAUGGACUGAUGAGCCGCGUGUCCCGACCGGUCCAUUCUGCUGUUCCAGCUCCAGGACCGGCCGCGCCGUCGCCACCCGUCCGGCGUCAGUGGAGGACCGCUCAUCAGCUGUCGAUUUUCAUCAGUUUCGUUUGGACCACUGGUCGGGCUCCUGCCAGUGCCGACAUUGGGUUGGGCGGAGUCCUACCGAUGAAUGCCGCGAGUGCUGCAACAUUGGCUCGGUACAUCUCGGUACAUUUUCCCGAGUCUGGUGUGGCUACGGGGAGACGGAUUUGGUGACCCUGGCUGCCGCCGUGAGAACCAUCCAGAACCGUACGGCUAUGCUGCGGCAGCAGCUGAAAGGAACGCAACAACAAUAACUACAACAGCAGCUGCUAAUGAAAGGGGAAAUCAUGGAGCCGGAUGACCCGGCACAUGGCGCUCAGCCAGCUGAGAAUGAGAGCAGCUAUCAAAUCGCCAGCAGGGUGCUGCGGCUGGUAACUGACGACCUUAACAGAGAGAGCGCCUCCGCUGAUGCGGAUGAAACUACCCCCUCUCGGGUUUGUUUGACGCCGUCUCCGUCGACUCUUUCGCCUGGGCCGGCUGGCGACCGCGACAUUUCUUGUGCAGUGACUCGUAACUAUGUUCACCAAACUUGUAAAACUCCUCACGUUAGCAUCUUUAAAGAAUGUUUCCCUUGUACACUGCUGCAAUGUCUUAUGUAGGCAUAUUGUAGGUACAGUCUAAACGAGUGUGGAAUGCUUUGUUGUGCUUGCUUGUUCUGUAUUUCGUUUGCUAUUUAUCACGGUGACUAUAAUUUAUUUUGACCAACCCUUGCCUUGUUGCAAUUUUAGUGGAUGGUUUCUGAACUGCUGUUUGCAUUAUAGAUGUUGCUAGUGCGUAGACGCCAAAGAUUACUUUAUACCUAUUGACGCGCCAGAUAAAGGAGGUGAAGUAUUCCUCUGAUCUCUACCUACGAAAUUCCUUUAUGUGUGUUUUGUAAUCGAUAUUGGCGGUUUUCUUAUGUGAUGCGGUGUAGAGCGUGGCUGAGGAAGGCGAUGUUUAAAGUUGCUAGUUAUUUUUCAAUACAUCUAUGAUCGGAC